AUACGGCCCCUUCGGAUACCUUGUAAAGUUGGACCGGUGCAGAGGAAAUUAGCAUGGCCCCUGCACAAGGAUGUCAGCUUUGAUUGAGAAAAGGUCUAUUUUUUG
rfam:Triticum aestivum genome assembly, contig: Triticum_aestivum_CS42_TGACv1_scaffold_159606_2DL